GUUUGAACUAGGAGAGGUGGAAGUGUUAAGGCUGUGAAAUUACGGCUAACAAAAUAGGUUGGCAGGUGGUGGAGAGAAUACCAAGACCUAGGCUCUCCUGAUCUCCCUGCAUCCCUGUCAUUUUUGGCAAUGUCGCUAAUCGGCCCAGCAGCCCGAAUCCACACGCCCCGGCGUCCGGGCUCUGCAAGGUGCAGCUGGUCUCAGGCCCUGUCUCAGAAUACAGAAGUAAUCAGAAUUUAUUCACGUGGGCCGACUGAGAGUUUUGACGUCAAAGGGCAAUCCUGUCUGAUUGAUACCACUCAAAUGGCAAUAUUGUUUGAAGAAAUGUAGUUAGAGAGAUGGCAAUUUAAAGGCUAUAAGAAGUUACAGGAAAAGAUUUUGUGAAUAGAGACUAUAAAGCACUCCUGUAACCUUGGCCCCAAAGAGGGCUCUCCAGACAGAAAGUUGCCUGCAUGUCCCGGUGCGUGUUUUUGAGUGUGAUACUGUUCUUCACUGCUCUGUCCCAAGAAAUCCAGCAUUGCCUAUGGCAUACCUUCUGAGGAAAGCCUUUGGGGCAAAGAAAUUACAAAAAUGAAGAACCAUGGUGAAAGAUAAGCAGAUGGGAAAAGAGCCCAGAAAUCUGCAAUGUGGGAUAUCCUGAAGAGAGCUCAGACUUCUGGUUCAGCAAUUGAUCUGAGGCCAACACUGGCCUGAGAGUUCAUACUUAAGGAAUUCAAUCUGAAUGAACCCAGGAGAGGGCAAGGGAUAGUCAUUUGCACUCGGUUUUCAGAAGCUAUAAGUGAAUACUAUCAAAAGGCGAUCCCUAUGACUUGGUCAUUACUGAAAAGGCAACAAAAUUGAAGACUGUCUUCUCAUAAUUAGGGCGCUGAACACUGACUAAGAGGAGAGAGCGCACAUUACAUGGAGACCAUGGUCCCCAUACCAGAAACAUGAGAGUAGAGAGAAGCAAAGCCAGCAUCGUGGAGCCAGUCCCUUUAUCCAGGAUCUUGGAGGGAUACAGUCUUCUGUAGAAAUUAAAUAAAGACUGAAUUCUUCAAUGGGUAUUUUGAGAAGAGAGCCACUGUAAGCUUAUACACUGUGAAUUGCAAAAUGUUACUGCCUCUGGGUGGACAGGUUUUAAAAAGACUUUUUUUUUUCCUCCUGGCAUGGCUGACAGAGGGAAGGCUGGGUUUCAAUCCCAUCUUUCCCUUCCCUUGCCCAGUGCUUCUUUAUGUGCACAACCUGCACAACUAUAUGUGGUUUGCAAACACGCAUAAGCAAAGACUAACAGCUUCUGAAACAAACUCUGAAUAAAAGAGGGAGCAUAUUAAGGCAGAUGGCAGAGGAGGUGAGCAGCAUGGGCAGAUAGAAGCAUCACAGAGACUACAAGAAGAAUGUGCCAGACCGGCUCAUAGUGGCCACACUGAUUAAGAAUUACCAUCAGCUCUUUAGGAUUUGGAAACUUGGAAACACAUUGUGUGUUCUUCCUGGUUUGUUAUAGAGUAUGUGUAUGUACUUCUUUCUCUUAAAAAUAUUUAUUUUUAAAGAAUUGACUUAUAAAAUUAUAUGUAUUUGUCAUGUAUAACACAAUAUUUUGAAGUACAGUCCUGUGUCAUAAGGAUAUGUUCUGAGAAAUCCAUCAAUUUUGUCAUUGUAUAAACAUGAUAGAGUGUAUUUACACAAACCUAGGUGGUAUAAACUACUACACACCUAGGCUACAUAAUGUAGCCUAUUGCUCCUAGGCUAUAAACCUGUAUAACAUGCUACUGUACUAAAUACUAUAGACAAUAGUCACAUACUGGUGAGUAUUUGCGUAUCAAAACAUAUCUAAAUAUAGAAAAGAUGCAGUAAAAAUAUGGUAUUACAAUCUUAUGAGACCACUAUAGUAUAUGAGGUCCAUCAUUGAUUAAAACAUAGUUAUAUGGUGCAUGACUGUAUAUAUGCAUUGUGGAAUGGUUAAAUCUAGCUAACUAACAAAUGUGUUAUAUCACAUAGUUAUUAUUUUUGAGGUGAGAAUACAAUAUUCACUCUCUUAGCAUUUUUUAAGAAUACAGUAUAUUAACUAUAGUCACCAUGCUGAAUGGUAGAUCUCUGGAACUAAUUUCUCCUAUCUAAGUGUGAUUAUGUACCCUUUGACCAACAUCUUUCUAACCCCACCCCACAAACACCCCAUAAUAAAGCCUCUUGUAACCACCAUUUUACUCCUUUUUCUAUGAGAAUGGCCUUCUUUGUCUCUCCUUUUGUCUGUCCUUACAGUUUUUUACUUAAUGUCUAUUUUGCCUGAUAUUAAUACAAGUAUACUUCCUCCUGCUCUCUUUUAGUUUCUACUUGCAUAGAAUAUCUUUUUCUGUUCCUUCAUUUUCAGUCUGUGUGUCCUUAUAGGUAAAGUGAGUCUCCUGUAGGCAGCAGAUAGUUGGGUUGGCUCUUUUUUUUUUUAAUCCAUCCCAGCCACUUUAUGUAUUUUGAUCAGAGACCUUUAUCCUUUUACAACCAAGGUAAUUAUUAGUAGAUAAGGACUUACUACUGACAUUUUGUUUAUUGCUUUCUCAUUGUUUGAUAGAUUGUUGUGUGUGGUUUUUAUUACAGGGUGUAUCUUGAGUCAUCUCAAUUAAUCUUGAUGCUCUUGGUUCCUACAUCGCUGUUAGCAUUGAGGAUGUUAGAGUGCAGAGUAUCAAAACCAGCAUUCAUCAGAAAGAAAGGAUGUUUACACAAACAUUAAGGCAUGGAAGAGAGUCAGUGGGGUGGGGAUGGGAAAGGAAAGAAUAUCCUAGGCUGAGAAAAUCACUGAAGCAAGAAAAUGGUGUAUAUGAGCAUGGGUUCUUUUAGAAACUAUCUUAACACCUGAUCAAAUGUGGGUGUUUCUGAGAAUGCUGAGCUGAUUAUGGCACAUUCUCUGUCCUGGAGAAGCUGGAAGCAUUUUUACAUCUACCCUAUUUGAUCCUCAUACAAAUUUUAUAAAUUAGAUAAGAAACAUCUUAAUAACUAAAAGUCACUGAAGAGGGAACCUUAAAAAAAGUACUUUAAAAAAGUACACAAGACUUAAGUUUACACAACUAACUCUAGGAAUGCUGGGACUGGAACCCAGCUGCCUGGCAAGUACCAUGGUGUUUUCAACCGGAUCAGAGAGGGGUGAGCUUUUUCCUGCUUCUUCCCCAGAGCAGUAAAUUAAAAAAAAAAAAAAGCGUUAUUGCUGUUAUUUUAUUAUGAUGAUUAUUACUAUUAUCAGAUAGUGAGGGGUGAAGGAAGAGAGUACAGCCAGAUUUCUUCAUUUCUCUCUACUAGUGGUAAUGUGUGUGGGGGCAUAAUAAACUCAAUUAAAGGAGUUCUGAGUAUUUGCAGAGCAAGUUUGUUCAUCUGUCUCAACUGCUUUAAAGAUUUUUUAUUUUAAUAAGAUAAAUAGUUAACUCAUCCUGCUAAAUGAAUUUUCUGCUAAUAACCAUAUACCUCUCCCACAACACUAAUCACAAAGUAUAUUUCUAAAGUGAUUCCAGCCCUGUUUGGGGAAUCAGUAUUAUUUACUCUUUUUCCUCUAGUCCCUAGCACAAUGUCUGGGCUAGAGGAUUCAUUUGAUCACUCAGGAAAUAUUCAUUGAGAACCUACUAUGUGGCAGUCACUAUUUUAGGUACUUAGGACAUAGCAGUGAAGAAAGUAGAUAUGAUUCUUUCUCUAAUGCAGCUUAUAUUUUGAUGGAAUAUUUUAGUAUUUCUAUAAAUAAAUAAAGAUAUGUGUUACAAAGAAAAUUAAAGAGAUGUGAUAAUGAUGAAAUGGGAUAAUUUGCUUGGGUGCCCAGGAAGGUUACUUUGAGGAAGUGACAUUGGAACUGAGACUCAAAUGUCAAGUUUUAAAUGUAGGAAAAAGCUUUGCAUGCCUGAAAAAUGGAAAGAUGAAUAUUAUGGCUUGAGGCUGAAGGGGCAAAGGAAGUGGUGUGGAGGUGAGUGGAAAGAUUCCAAGGUGGUCUUUUCACAGAGGAGGGUGAGGGAGCUAGGUAAUGUCAAAAGCUGACCCAUGUUGCUAGGCUGUCAAAAGUACCAGGCUACAAAGAUUCUCCAAAACUUAAUUAAAUUUAAAAAUAUUUGUGCUCCAAAGGACACCAUCAAGAAAGUAAAAAAAUAACCCACCAAAUGGGAGAAAAUAUUGGCAAAUCAUGUAUCUGAUAAGAGGCUUGUAUCCAGAAAUAUAAAGAACUCUUACAAUUCAAUGGAUAAAUAAACCAAUUUAAAAAAUGAGCAAAAGACUUGAAUAAAUGUUUCUUUAAAGAAGAGAUAUAAAUGGCCAAUUAACAAAUGUAAAGAUCCUCUUCAUCUUUAGUUAUCAGAAAAAUGCAAAUCAAAUCAUGAAAUACUCUCUCAAACCCACUAGAUGGCUAGAAUUUAAAAAGUCAGUAACAAGUUGUUGGCAAGGAUAUAUGGAAAACAAUCCUCAUACCCUUCUGGGAAUGUAAAUGGGAAUGUUAAAUGGUGCAGCUGCUUUAAAUGUCAAAUGGUCCAGCAAUUCUAUUUCUACAUAUAUAUACCCAAGAGAAAUGAAAGCAUAUGCCUCAACAAAAACUUGUACACAAAUGGCAUUAUUCAUAAUAGCCAAAGAUGGGAAUAACUCAAAUGACCAUCGACUGAUAAAUGAACAAACAAAAUGUGGCAUAUCCAUACAGUGGAACUGGCCAUAAAAGGAAUAAAAUGCUAAUACAUGCUAUAACAUGGAUGGACCUUGAAAACAUGAUGGUAAGUGAAAGAAGCCAGUCACAAAGGGCCACAUAUAUCAUUCCAUUCACAUCAAGUUUCCAGAACAGAGAAUUCUAUACAGUCAGAAAGUAAAUUAGUAGUUGCUUGGUGGUGGGGGAUGGGAAGACAGGGUAGUAGUUAAAGGGUACAGGAUUUCUUUUUGAGGUGAUGAACAUGUUCUAAAAUUUGCUGUGGAGAUGGUUGCAUAAAUCUGUAAACAUAUUAAAAGUCAUUAAAUUGUACACUUGAAAUGGGUGAACUGUAUGGUGUGUGAAAUAUAUCUUAAUAAAGCUAUUUUAAAAAAACACUAAAAAAGCUCCCAAAGCCUAAGGUACACUUUAUACUACUAAGAGAUUCAGGCUCUUCAGAUAAAAUUUACUACUUCCAGAUUAGAAUACUUCUGUGCCCAAGGGAGAAUCAUCAAUGAGGCUAUUCUUAGAACACAAAGCUUUCCUUCCUAAAAUACUGGAAAGGAGCAACACCUUGAACACCACAGGAAACCCAUAAAUAUCUAAUUUGCA
rnacentral:lncRNA from 10 species